AGUGAACGCUGGCGGUAUGCCUAACACAUGCAAGUCGAACGGAAGCACAGUAAGAGCUUGCUCUUACGGGUGGCGAGUGGCGGACGGGUGAGGCAUACAUCAGAAUCUACUUUUUCGUGGGGGAUAACGUAGGGAAACUUACGAUAAUACCGCAUACGACCUACGGGAGAAAUCAGGGGAUCUUCGGACCUUGCGCGUUUGAUUGAGCCGAUGUCGGAUUAGCUAGUUGGCGGGGUAAAGGCCCACCAAGGCGACGAUCCGUAGCUGGUCUGAGAGGAUGAUCAGCCGCACUGGAACUGAGACACGGUCCAGACUCCUACGGGAGGCAGCAGUGGGGAAUAUUGGACAAUGGGCGCAAGCCUGAUCCAGCCAUGCCGCGUGGGUGAAGAAGGCCUUCGGGUUGUAAAGCCCUUUUGUUGGGAAAGAAAAGCAGCAGGUUAAUACCCCGCUGUUCUGACGGUACCCAAAGAAUAAGCACCGGCUAACUUCGUG
rnacentral:rRNA from 1 species